rnacentral:rRNA from 1 species
CGUAGGGUGCAAGCGUUAAUCGGAAUUACUGGGCGUAAAGCGUGCGCAGGCGGUUUCGUAAGUCUGUCGUGAAAUCCCCGGGCUUAACCUGGGAAUGGCGAUGGAGACUGCGAGGCUAGAGUUUGGCAGAGGGGGUAGAAUUCCACGUGUAGCAGUGAAAUGCGUAGAGAUGUGGAGGAACACCGAUGGCGAAGGCAGCCCCCUGGGUCAAAACUGACGCUCAUGCACGAAAGCGUGGGGAGCAAACAGGAUUAGAUACCCUGGUAGUCCACGCCCUAAACGAUGUCUACUAGUUGUUGGGUCUUAAUUGACUUAGUAACGCAGCUAACGCGUGAAGUAGACCGCCUGGGGAUACGGUCGCAAGAUUA